rnacentral:rRNA from 1 species
CAGGGAAUAUUGCGCAAUGGACGGAAGUCUGACGCAGCGACGCCGCGUGGAUGAUGAAGGCCUUCGGGUUGUAAAAUCCUUUUCAGGGGGAAGAGUGAGGACGGUACCCCUGGAAUAAGCGUCGGCUAACUACGUGCCAGCAGCCGCGGUAAGACGUAGGACGCGAGCGUUAUCCGGAUUUACUGGGCGUAAAGCGUCUGUAGGCGGAAGUGUAAGUUGGACGUGAAAGCUCCGGGCUCAACUCGGAGAGGCCGUUCAAUACUGCACAACUAGAGGCUAUCAGAGGGGCGUGGAAUUUCCGGUGUAGCGGUAAAAUGCGCAGAUAUCGGAAGGAACACCAGUGGCGAAGGCGGCGCCCUGGGGUGGGCCUGACGCUAAGAGACGAAAGCUAGGGGAGCGAACAG